GAUGAACGCUGGCGGCGUGCCUAAUACAUGCAAGUCGAGCGAACAGACGAGGAGCUUGCUCCUCUGACGUUAGCGGCGGACGGGUGAGUAACACGUGGAUAACCUACCUAUAAGACUGGGCUAACUUCGGGAAACCGGAGCUAAUACCGGAUAAUAUAUUGAACCGCAUGGUUCAAUAGUGAAAGACGGAUUUGCUGUCACUUGUAGAUGGAUCCGCGCCGCCUUAGCUAGUUGGUAAGGUAACGGCUUACCAAGGCAACGAUGCGUAGCCGACCUGAGAGGGUGAUCGGCCACACUGGAACUGAGACACGGUCCCGACUCCUACGGGAGGCAGCAGUAGGGAAUCUUCCGCAGUGGGCGAAAGCCUGACGGAGCAACGCCGCGUGAGUGAUGAAGGUCUUCGGAUCGUAAAACUCUGUUAUUAGGGAAGAACAAAUGUGUAAGUAACUAUGCACGUCUUGACGGUACCUAAUCAGAAAGCCACGGCUAACUACGUG
rnacentral:rRNA from 1 species